rnacentral:rRNA from 2 species
GUCUACGGCCAUACCACUGAGAAAGCACCGGUUCUCUACCGAUCACCGUAGUUAAGCUCAGUAGGGCACGGUUAGUACUUGGAUGGGUGACCGCCUGCGAAUACCGUGUUUGUCCAAAAUU